AAAGUGCGACAAGGUACUCCGUAGGGUGAACCUGCGGGGGGAUCAUUACACAAAUAUGAAGGCGGGCUGGAACCUCUCGGGGUUACAGCCUUGCUGAAUUAUUCACCCUUGUCUUUUGCGUACUUCUUGUUUCCUUGGUGGGUUCGCCCACCACUAGGACAAACAUAAACCUUUUGUAAUUGCAAUCAGCGUCAGUAACAAAUUAAUAAUUACAACUUUCAACAACGGAUCUCUUGGUUCUGGCAUCGAUGAAGAACGCAGCGAAAUGCGAUAAGUAGUGUGAAUUGCAGAAUUCAGUGAAUCAUCGAAUCUUUGAACGCACAUUGCGCCCUUUGGUAUUCCAAAGGGCAUGCCUGUUCGAGCGUCAUUUGUACCCUCAAGCUUUGCUUGGUGUUGGGCGUCUUGUCUCUAGCUUUGCUGGAGACUCGCCUUAAAGUAAUUGGCAGCCGGCCUACUGGUUUCGGAGCGCAGCACAAGUCGCACUCUCUAUCAGCAAAGGUCUAGCAUCCAUUAAGCCUUUUUUUCAACUUUUGACCUCGGAUCAGGUAGGGAUACCCGCUGAACUUAAGCAUAUCAAUAAGCGGAGGAAAAGAAACCAACAGGGAUUGCCCUAGUAACGGCGAGUGAAGCGGCAACAGCUCAAAUUUGAAAA
rnacentral:rRNA from 1 species